GCCAGACUCCUACGGGAGGCAGCAGUGGGGAAUAUUGGGCAAUGGGCGCAAGCCUGACCCAGCAACGCCGCGUGAAGGAGGAAGGCUUUCGGGUUGUAAACUUCUUUUAUUCGGGACGAAGAAAGUGACGGUACCGAAUGAAUAAGCCACGGCUAACUACGUGCCAGCAGCCGCGGUAAUACGUAGGUGGCAAGCGUUAUCCGGAUUUAUUGGGUGUAAAGGGCGUGUAGGCGGGAAUGCAAGUCAGAUGUGAAAACUCAGGGCUCAACCCUGAGCCUGCAUUUGAAACUGUAUUUCUUGAGUGCUGGAGAGGCAAUCGGAAUUCCGUGUGUAGCGGUGAAAUGCGUAGAUAUACGGGGGAACACCAGUGGCGAAGGCGGAUUGCUGGACAGUAACUGACGCUGAGACGCGAAAGCGUGGGGAGCAAACAGGAUUAGAUACCCCGGUAC
rnacentral:rRNA from 1 species